UCAAUAUUUCCAAAAUCGAAGAAGUUUCAGUAUGACGUAUUUACGACUUGCUAUAUACAUGUACACUUCCUAAACUACAAGAGCACAGUUUGAUAGGCAUAGUUGAAAGAAAAGAUUUUACUAACAAAAGAGGACACAAAAGAACGAGAAAAAGACGUCAAAGCAAUUGAAAACAAAAUGGCCGAAAACUCUGCAAAUGAAAAGGAAAGGUUUAAUGCAACACAAUCGCAGAUUGACGAGCUGAAAAAGAAGCAUCAGCGAGAUAAGGUGCAUUGGCAGAUGCUUGAACAAAAGAUCAAAGAAUUAAAAAAGGCUCUAGGAGAUAGCACAGGGGAGGAGAAGGAAAAGUUGAAACAAGUAUUGGAAAAGUAUGAGACCGAAUUGUCCUCCAUUGAGGCUGUAAUGGAGAGCGACGCACGUAAAAUCAAAGAAAGCAUGAAGAGGAAAGAAAGGAAGAGAAUGACAGAGACAGAAAAACAGAAAAGAAACCUGGGAUCUAGGGAAGAAAUAGAAAAAGAAAAAGGCUUUUUUCACAAGAAUGAAAGAUUAAUAGAAUGCUUCGUCAGUACGAGUGUGGGAUAGAGAAAUUCCACCGAGGAGACAAGAUUCGCAGUCUAGGACGAGGCUUUGCCGAGUCCUAGACAGCGAAUCUAGUUCCAGAAGUGGUAUUUUCCUAUCACUCACGAGUAAAUAAUGAAGGAUUAUUUUUCUCACAUUUUACCUACAGUUUAGUGCAUAAAUUUAGGAGCUUCGAGAAAAUUCUAAAUUAUCAAAAUCCUCAUUUGAACUUCAAUGCAAAAUCUAAGUAGAUGGGCAGAAAGAGCAUACCUGAAAAUGGAUUACACUAUAACUGUAAACUAAAAAACCCAAUGUUGUCCAACAGAAACCUAUACUACAUUGAAAUUUGAAGAAAACAGUGCAAAAUAUUUUACUUCACCAUGUAACGUAAAUCUUCACCAUGUAACGUAAAUCAUAGAAGAUAUAUGAUCACAUGGCUGUCUCACAUAGGUAAAGUCGAUCUCACACUGGUGAUAAUGUGAGAAAAAUAGUCUCUCGCUAAACAAGAAUAUUGAAUCCAUUGAACUGGUUUUCCUCGUUGCAUUGCUUGACAAAAAUCCGUACACGGCAAAAUGAAUUCCCAUGUACAUUGCAAUAAAAUGCACAUUUAGUGUAACUUUCAAUUAAUAAUUUGUACUCACUUUGCCGAUUAUAAAGCGUAAACUGAUCUAGGUCAGGUUAUAUCUUAUAAUAUACCCAAGGCGGGAAUAGAAGUCUUCGCUAGUAUAAAAUCCAAAAAACCAUGUGACAACAAAAUUGAAAUAUGUAAAAGUAUAAAGUAUAUCACAAAUGUAUAUGAAUUUGAUUCAGAUUUUAUUUUCUUGUAAGUUUUGUUCAUACAUAAAAUAAAACAAGCAGCUACUAAGAAAGAAUGUAA